rnacentral:rRNA from 1 species
UGGGGAAUUUUGCACAAUGGGGGAAACCCUGAUGCAGCGACGCCGCGUGAUUUAGAAGGCCUUCGGGUUGUAAAAAUCUUUUGUAUGGGAAGAAAAUGACAGUACCAUACGAAUAAGGACCGGCUAAUUACGUGCCAGCAGCCGCGGUAAUACGUAAGGUCCGAGCGUUGUCCGGAAUCAUUGGGCGUAAAGGGUACGUAGGCGGAUAAGCAAGUUAGAAGUGAAAUCCUAUAGCUCAACUAUAGUAAGCUUUUAAAACUGCUCAUCUUGAGGUAUGGAAGGGAAAGUGGAAUUCCUAGAGUAGCGGUGAAAUGCGCAGAUAUUAGGAGGAAUACCGGUGGCGAAGGCGACUUUCUGGCCAUAAACUGACGCUGAGGUACGAAAGCGUGGGUAGCAAACAGG